ACAGGCCCUCCUGCGCUACCAAAGCAGAAGGAAAAUGAUUGGAAACAGCGUGCCUUGUCACACUCACACCUCUGAAGCAAGCGGGUCUGGGAGAGGAGUUCUCUGCCCAGAGCAACCCAACCACAGCCAUGGCAGUCCAGCUGUGGCCUUGCUUGCCCCCGGAGCAUAAGACAGGUUACUUCCAUCUCCUUCCUGCGCUACCAUGCCAGUCGUGAUUGGGAGCAGAAAAGCAGCGGCCUGGAACUUUGGAAUCCUAAAAUGAUGCCAAAUCAUUCCCUACUGGGGAGGGCGACAAACAGCAGAGUCACAGAACUAUCAAAAUAGGAAGCCCAGAGCCCACAAGGGGAACUGCGGGCGGAAAGGAACUCUGCCCUCCCCCUCAGUGUAUGCCUGUCCUCCCACAGCCUGCUGGGGCUCAGAGUGGCUGAUGGCAUCCCGACUCUCAGCUUCGACUGAGGCCGAGCAGACGUCCCAGUUCCAGGUUUCCGGGCCACACUCCUCCAACCACGGCCACACCUUUCACACGAGAAACACAGAGAGGCUGGGAAUUCAGUGGACUUUGGGAUUCUGUAACCCGCACCGAUAAACUUGUGUUUAAUUUUCACCACGAGGAACCCUUGCAGUCUUCAGAGCCGUCGUUACCGCCGUGACAGUACAGCAGCCACGCCGGCUCCUCAGGGCUUCCCGCAGGUGGCCCUUCAUCCCGGUUCACUGCGGGUGACAGCCUGAUGAAGGAAGAGGUCCCCGCAGACCACGGGUGCUACGUACGCGCCCAGUUCCCAUUGGCAGGGAGCCCGAGCCCUGCCCUGGGGCCCAAGGGCGCGACCACACCCAUCCCCACAUCCCCACUUGGCGGGCCCCUCUUCUGAGACCACUCCCAGGUCCGACUCUGUAGCAGUCGGGCAGGAGAAGGAGACGAGAAAUAGACACGGUUUCUCAGCAGACGAAAUCGAAUACGAGCAUUUGGUGGCUCAGGGCCCGGAGGGCUGAAGAAACAGAUCGUAUGGCAGAAAGCUGCCGUCCCUAAGGCGAGGGGAAGCGGGGAAGAGGUCGGGCUGAGCAGACACCUAGACGCCAGGAUGAGGGGCCUGGAAGAGGCAGAGCCUGGAUCUCUGAGGAGGGGCUGCCACAAUUUCUCAGGGAAGGCGGAAGCAACCUUAUCCACCACGAGGGGAUAUGGGGCAGGAGAUGAUUUCUGAGGACCAUCUUCCAGGCCAUUGAAGACUUGGGGAGGUGGAGUAGCUUUCUAUCACAAUAACGCAAACAACGCGUAGAUAUCCACGAGCGCCGCUCUCUGAUCUCCUGAGAAAUCAAAGGUAAUGCCAGUCUGGGUUUUGAAGUCCCCCCCGCCCCGCCCCACCCCAGUUAAGCACAAGAGGGGAAG